GGAACAUAAAUAGGAAGAAUCUUGUCCGGAGGGAAAGUUCGCCACAACGGUGGCGUUCCUGAUGAGACGUCCUGAAGGGUCUGUUUAUAUGAGGGGAGGACGGUGACCGAGGAGCGGAGUGGUCAGCGGCAUCUACUGUAGUGCCGUGAAGUGAGCGUUCUUCUCCGUCCUCUCUCUUCUGGAGCCCUUCAUCUCCAAGAGAGACCUCGGCCAACAUGACUGGAGAGGCAGCAGCAGCUGCAGCAGCAAGGUAGCAGGACACCGAUGGAAGAGACCAACAGAGGAAGGGGUCCCCCGAUGCUGAAGCUGAGCUCAAACAUCUACUAAUGUACUCCCUCCACACACCCAGCUCAGAAGAAGGGACAGUUUUCAAGGUCCUCGUUCCUUCCAGGUUCCACAUAAAUUUAAAAUGUACAUGUUACUUUACCAAGCAAAACAACAGCUGACUGAAAUCAUUUGGACCCUUCAUUUAUUUUCUUUGUAGCCACAGUUUCAUUAAAGAACCGGAUGCCGCCCCACUUC